rnacentral:lncRNA from 1 species
AAGACUCAUCGGAAACCUCAAGUAAGAUAUCCAACAUCUUUCCCUUCUCUUUUCUUGCAUUAAACCCCAUCCAUCAGCUAUGAUUUGGUCGAAACAAUGCCCGGAAGAAUCCCCUGUUUCCAAAUCUAUAACUCUAAUGUCAUCCCCUUUUUCUAGUACCGUAUGCCACCGCCGAUCGUCAGGAAAGGAACUCCAGCCGCAUCACCAUGGCCCC